rnacentral:rRNA from 1 species
UACGAGGGGGGCAAGCGUUGUUCGGAUUUAUUGGGCGUAAAGGGCGCGUAGGCGGUUUGCUAAGUUGGAUGUGAAAACUCUGGGCUUAACCCAGAGCCUGCAUCCAAAACUGGCAAACUUGAGUACUGGAGGGGAAAGCGGAAUUCCUGGUGCAGCGGUGAAAUGCGUAGAUAUCAGGAGGAACACCGGUGGCGAAGGCGGCUUUCUGGACAGUAACUGACGCUGAGGCGCGAAAGCUAGGGGAGCAAACAGG